GGCUACUCAAAGUGUAAUUCAUCUGAUGUUGACGCCACGCACGGCUGUAAUAAACAGGAAGUAGCGGUUGCAAACUAGGAUGGACCACACAUCUCAGAAAAACAGAGAAAAGUUUCCAGGAAUGUCUUGCUAUCAGGCACGUUGUAAUUGUUCUUUCAUGUCAACUAGUGUUGUCGAUGCUACACGAUGUCCAGAGACGUAGAGAAAGAAAUGCAACUCUAAUGGACGCCAACAGCGGAAACAGCUGCUCAGUGAUGUCAGAACAUAGCAUGGAGCUCAGACUCCCAGAGGCCUGCGGGAAUCACAGCUGCAGCUCUGAGCCGCACAUCAACCCUCAGCUGAGGAUUACAGCAGCAGAAACAAACAAACAAGGCCGUCUGCGGGUCCGUGCCACAGACCAGGUAACUGUGUCCUGAUUGGCCACAAGAGGGAAGCAGCUGGUCACAGAGAGAUGGGGCGGGAUCCAAGUUCAUGGAAAGAACUACACAGUUUCUCAGAAGUUUGAAAAACUUCGGGUCCGAUCUUGGUGCACCUGACCCAGGUUAGCCAUCCGCCUCGCUCGCCACGGUCAGGGCUUCGUGAUGGACUUCCUGUCUGAUGUCUUGAGACAUAUUUCAAUAUCUUCUUCCCUCGUGAUUUAUGUUGCGAUGUUCUUCCUGCAGUGAAACCAGACGACAGUAUGAUCCUGCUACCUCUGUGCUUCAAAGCUGGGAUGGUUUUACAAGACUCAUUGUUUUUCUACCAAAUGUCAUUAUGGCCAAACGCUUUCAUUUCUGUCUCAUCAGAUCCCAGGACUUGUGUGCAAAAUUCUACAUCUUUGUUCCUCAGUACUUUUGCUUCUUCCUCUCUGAGUGGCCUUUCAGUCCAUGUAAGAGCAGAACUCACUUCUCUGGAUAAUUAUGCUGUUACCAGCUUAAAGGUCUUUAGCUUUUGUUGUUGGGUCUGUUUGCUCACUUCACACCACAGAACCCAUCUUCGUUCUGAAUGCUGUGAUGGAACAGAUGAAUGUAGAACCUUCAGGCAUCUGGACAUUUCCCUAAGGAUGAACCAGACUU